CUCUUGGUCCCUCUCCCCCCCGCCGCCACCCCCGCUCCGGCAGUGUGCAGGCCGGCGCCCACAGGUCCUGGCCGGGCUGGGCCGGCCACUUAUCACUGCCCCUUGCAUCGCAGUUCGGAAGCUCCGGAACCCUGCGUGUCCUUUCCCCCUCACCUAUUCCGGAGCGCUGCCGGCUUCGCUCUCACUGGGCCCGCCAGUUUGGUCCCGUUUCUUUCUCUAGUUAAGACUCCUUGCCAGCGGCCUCACUUUUCGGCCUUUUCACAUAUGCAUAUUUGGGGGGGCCCUUACCCCCCCUCACGGAGAAAUGGAGGCAAUAAAAUGGCGGACCCGGAAGUGAAGGCGCUGUGACUAUACGUCCUGGCGGAGGAAUCUGAAGGAAAUGGGUUAGCGGAGCCACUUUGCCCUUCUCUCAGGACCUCAACGCACCUCUGAGUCCGACUCCUUCCUACUGAGGACCUCGUGAGCUGGAAAAACGUAUACCGCGGGCAUCCUGAGCGGGACUACUUAGCGAGGCGCAGGAUCACCGAUUACGUGGCUUACGUGAGGGAUAGUUCCGGCAGGGGACGGACGCAGAUGGUAGUUUUGGCGCCAACCAGUGCAGCGCUCGGAGGAACUGGUUACUGGUGCGUGUUGGCGUCCGCACUCUACCUUCCUGCUGGUUCAACGCCGGGCUAACUUGAGGGUUGGGGGAGAAUCUUGCUUCCGCUAUUCGGGACCUUCUGGUUAUGCACUCCUGUCUGACCGGACACUUUCCCAGUGUCCUGAAUAUAGGUCAGGAAAGAACCCCUGAACUUUUGGGGGGAAGACUAGAAUAGGAUGGGACAUGAAAUUGCAUGUCUUUCAUUUACCAGUCUAUCUUGGUUUCUGUUCACCAUUUUAACUGAUAUAAGGACCGAGAGAAAGCUCGGAGAAAACCUUUCAAAAAUCAAUAACAGGACGCUGGAGCAAUGCCUUAGGAGACCCCAGUUCAAUUCCCAGCACCCACAUUGCAGCUUACAACUGCCUUUAACUCCAAGAUCUGACACCCUCACACAAGCAAGCAUACAUUUAGGCAAAACACCAAUGCACACUAAAAAUUAAAAUCAGUAAUAAUAACAAACACGCCUUUGAUCACAGCAGGAGGCACAGGUCUCCUAAUUUAAUACCAAAGUGCUAGGCCCACCCUAGCAGAGUCCAGCAGAGUCAGGUGGAUUUCUCUGAGUUCAAGGCCCGCCUCCGAAGAAAACCACACAAAUUUAAAAGUUAAUAAUGGGCUGGGGGGCGUGGCUAAUCUCUGAGCACUGGCUGCUUACAGGGGAACCCUAGCAGGGCCUUGUAGAUGCUUGGCAAGCCCUUCUACCAUUGAGCUAUGUCCAAAUCCUAAAUUGUUCUUCAAAGUCAAAUAUUAGACAGACAGAAGGAAGCGCUGGAGAGAUGACUCAGUGGUUAAGAGCACUGACUGCUCUUCCAGAGGUCCUGAGUUCAAUCCCCACCAACCACAUGUUGGCUCACUUGUAAUGGGACCCAAUGCCCUCUUCUGGUGUGUCUGAAGAGUGCAACAGUGUACUCAUAUAUAGUAUAGUAAAUCUUUUUAAAAUAAAAAGAAAAGCUUCACUUAAAAAAAAAAAGAAAGAAAAAAAGAUAAAAGGGAAAGCUGGAUUCGGAAGUGUGAGUAAAAUCUGUAGUACUUCAUUGGAAUGGAAAAAACUAAGCCCCAGACUUAGGAUUUAACGUCUUUAUUCCAUAAAUGAAUAAACAGCUCCGCAAUUCAUCUGCAAUAGCUUUGGAAGGAAUGGGGACGGGUAGGGUCUGAACAUAACUGCUUACUUCACGGUCUUAUGGCGGCCAAAGAACUGUGUCAGGAAUCACUGAUUCCUAUCACAUACUGCAACUACAGAAAGGCAAAGCUAAAAUACUUAGGACCAAAACAUCUGCCUGUUCCAUGACAAAAUCACAAUUUUAUAUAAAUUCCCCUAAUAAUACUCUGGUGUUUCUUUAGAUCAGAUACAUCUUUUGUCUUUUAGGAAUUAUCCUCAUAGUGAAGUUUCCCUGUGAAGACUCAAAUCUGAUUUUCUGAGCAUUUCUACCCACAGCUGGAAGCAGAGCUGGAUAUUAAAGGAGCUACCUCUGAAACGG
rnacentral:lncRNA from 1 species